GGGGAAUAUUGCACAAUGGGGGAAACCCUGAUGCAGCAACGCCGCGUGAAGGAUGAAGGUUUUCGGAUUGUAAACUUCUUUAGUCAGGGACGAAAAAAAUGACGGUACCUGAAGAAUAAGCCACGGCUAACUACGUGCCAGCAGCCGCGGUAAUACGUAGGUGGCGAGCGUUGUCCGGAAUUACUGGGUGUAAAGGGCGUGUAGGCGGGAAUGUAAGUCAGAUGUGAAAUCCCAGGGCUUAACCCUGGAGCUGCAUCUGAAACUAUGUUUCUUGAGUGCCGGAGAGGAAAGCGGAAUUCCUAGUGUAGCGGUGAAAUGCGUAGAUAUUAGGAGGAACACCAGUGGCGAAGGCGGCUUUCUGGACGGUAACUGACGCUGAGGCGCGAAAGCGUGGGGAGCAAACA
rnacentral:rRNA from 1 species